rnacentral:SRP_RNA from 1 species
GGCGGGCCCCCUCGCAUCGGUGUGCCGUGAACCUGGUCAGGUCGGGAACGAAGCAGCCAUAGCGGAGUGCAUCGAGUGCCGAGGACAAGGCUCGCCUUU